UUUAUUUCUUAGUAUCUGUGAUUAGUUACAGUUUAGAUGUUUUACAGUCUUCUGUUACUUAAUUUUUGUGAUUCUGAUAUUUAGUUUUUCAGUUUCUUCGUUCUUAUUUUAGCACAGUUUAUGUCUUAGUAACCUUGAUGAAUUCCACAGUGCCCUGAGAAAAUUCUGGUAAGAACAGUUACAAGCAGUGGCUGGUGCACACUGAGGCCUAAGUUGUUCAGAGACAUUGCUACAGCUGGGCAGAGCGGGAGUCUCCCCUCUCCAACCUGCUGGAAAUGCUCUUCCUGAGCCCCCCCUGGAUCCCUUUGUCCCUCCUGGCUGCAAGGACCACGAGUCCACUUGUGACCCACCAGGACCCCAGACCUCCUGCUCAGCAGAACUGGUGGCGAAGAGCUGGAUAAUUGAGUCCUCACACCUAACACAGUUUAAUCCCAUCAGCACUCAGCACUCAGAUGCCCAAGCUCCUGAAAUUCUGUAUUCAUCAACAUAGGAUGAGCUGCUUGGAAAUCCCUGUAAUAUCUGAAUGCACUGCCAAGAGGUGUCUGCAUGUCACAGUACCCAAAAAGCUUCAGAUUGCUCUCAAGGCUGGGGCACUGCUGCAGUUAGAUUGAAAUGAACUCUGCACUUCUGGAUGCCCAGCACCCCUCUGUGAGUGGAUAUCUAUAUGAAUGCUGAUGAUGACAUUUUCCACCCAUUCUCUAUCAUAACUCUGGGAUGCAGGAGAGUGUUCUCAUUCUCAUGGAAGUCAGCACCUGUGUAGUUCCUGUGUGUGGAGAAACAAUUAUUGGCUUAGACAAUUAACAAAGUA